AGGUUAUCCAGAGUAUCGUAUUUAUAUUUUUACCACUGGGAGAAAGCGUGCAUCUGACUAACCAAAUCUAUUGCUACUACCCGUUAGGCUACAACGAAUGUUUCUCGAUGUGAGUGAUGUAUAGAGAAGACUGCAACUGUAGUCUCGUUCUAUGCCUUGGUAAGGAUGAUCUACUGUUCUAUUGGGGAAGCUUACGGAAUCU
rnacentral:lncRNA from 1 species